GUGAAAACUUAUUCACUAACUCUGCAUGGUGUUGCCAAAGUGAGGGGAAACAGGUUUGCUAAAUUGUGGUGAUAGAAAUGUAUUAGCCUUAGAAGCUAUUGAGGUGGUCCAUUCUAUCCUAGUACAGUG